rnacentral:rRNA from 1 species
GGCUCAGAUUGAACGCUGGCGGCGUGCCUAACACAUGCAAGUCGAGCGAGAAAGUCUACUUCGUGUAGAUGAGUAAAGCGGCGCACGGGUGAGUAACGCGUGGAUUAUCUACCUCCGGGAACGGGAUACCAGUGGGAAACCGCUGCUAAUACCGUAUACGCUGGUAACGGGAAAGGGUGCCUCUUCUAUGCAUCUGCCCGGAGAUGAGUCCGCGUCCCAUUAGCUAGUUGGCGGGGUAAUGGCCCACCAAGGCUACGAUGGGUAGCUGGUUUGAGAGGAUGAUCAGCCACACUGGGACUGAAACACGGCCCAGACUCCUACGGGAGGCAGCAGUGGGGAAUAUUGCGCAAUGGGGGAAACCCUGACGCAGCGACGCCGCGUGGAGGAAGAAGGCUUUCGGGUCGUAAACUCCUGUCAAGAGGGAAGAAAUGUAUGUAGGUUAAUAGCCUAUGUAUUUGACGGUACCUCUAGAGGAAGCACCGGCUAAUUCCGUGCCAGCAGCCGCGGUAAUACGGAAGGUGCAAGCGUUAAUCGGAAUCACUGGGCGUAAAGCGCGCGUAGGCGGCCUUGUAAGUCGGAUGUGAAAGCCCACGGCUCAACCGUGGAACUGCAUUCGAAACUGCUUGGCUUGAGUCUUGGAGAGGGUGGCGGAAUUCCAGGUGUAGGAGUGAAAUCCGUAGAUAUCUGGAGGAACACCAGUGGCGAAGGCGGCCACCUGGACAAUGACUGACGCUGAGGUGCGAAAGCGUGGGUAGCAAAACAGGAUUAGAUACCCUGGUAGUCCACGCCGUAAACGAUGGAUGCUAGGUGUCUGCCCGUUGGGGUAGGUGCCGUAGUUAACGCGUUAAGCAUCCCGCCUGGGGAGUACGGUCGCAAGGCUGAAACUCAAAGAAAUUGACGGGGGCCCGCACAAGCGGUGGAGUAUGUGGUUUAAUUCGAUGCAACGCGAAGAACCUUACCUGGACUUGACAUCCCGCGAAUCCUCUAGAGAUAGAGGAGUGCCCUUCGGGGAGCGCGGUGACAGGUGCUGCAUGGCUGUCGUCAGCUCGUGCCGUGAGGUGUUGGGUUAAGUCCCGCAACGAGCGCAACCCCUAUCCUUAGUUGCCACCAGAUAAUGCUGAGCACUCUAGGGAGACUGCCCGGGUCAACCGGGAGGAAGGUGGGGACGACGUCAAGUCAUCAUGGCCCUUACGUCCAGGGCUACACACGUACUACAAUGGUGGGUACAACGGGCAGCAAGACCGCGAGGUGGAGCCAAUCCCAAAAAACCCAUCCCAGUCCGGAUUGCAGUCUGCAACUCGACUGCAUGAAGUUGGAAUCGCUAGUAAUCCCGGAUCAGCAUGCCGGGGUGAUACGUUCCCGGGCCUGUACACACCGCCCGUCACACCACGAAAGUUGGUUCUACCCGACGUCAGUGAGCUAACCCUUUUGGGAGGCAGCUGCCUACGGUAGGACUGAUGAUUGG